rnacentral:tRNA from 2 species
GCCAGCUUAGCUCAGUUGGUAGAGCAACGCACUCGUAACGCGUAGGCCACAGGUUCGAUCCCUGCAGCUGGCA